rnacentral:rRNA from 1 species
CCCUUAGAUGUUCUGGGCUGCACGCGCGCUACACUGAAGCGUUCAACGAGUAUUUCACCUUGCCCGGGAGGGUUGGGUAAUCUUUUUAAAACGCUUCGUGAUGGGGAUAGAUUAUUGCAAUUAUUAAUCUUCAACGAGGAAUUCCUAGUAAGCGCGAGUCAUCAGCUCGUGCUGAUUACGUCCCUGCCCUUUGUACACACCGCCCGUCGCUACGACCGACUGUUUCUGUCAAUGAAGCUGUAGGAUUCGGCCCUGACCGGGGCGCAAGCCCUGGCUACGUGGUUGGAGAUCAUAGUUUAGUUGAUACGAAAUACAGGACGUAAAAGUCGUAACA